GAUGAACGUUGGCGGCGUGCCUAACACAUGCAAGUCGAACGAUAGUCGCAAGACUAUAGUGGCGCACGGGUGAGUAACACGUAGCUUACCUCCCUCUCAGCGCGGAUAACGGCUCGAAAGAGCUGCUAAUACCGCAUAAGCUCACGGAUUCUAGAGAUUUGUGAGAAAAGGCUUCGGUCACUGAGAGACGGGGCUGCGGC
rnacentral:rRNA from 1 species